rnacentral:rRNA from 1 species
GACGUAGGGCGCGAGCGUUGUCCGGAUUUAUUGGGCGUAAAGAGCUCGUAGGCGGCUUGUCGCGUCGAAUGUGAAAUCUCAGGGCUCAACUCUGACAUUGCAUUCGAUACGGGCAGGCUCGAGUUCGGUAGGGGAGACUGGAAUUCCUGGUGUAGCGGUGAAAUGCGCAGAUAUCAGGAGGAACACCAGUGGCGAAGGCGCCGCUCUGGGCCGUGACUGACGCUGAAGAGCGAAAGCGUGGGUAGCAAACAGG